CCUUCGAUAGCUCAGCUGGUAGAGCGGAGGACUGUAGUACUUGUCGUGUUGUCAUCCUUAGGUCGCUGGUUCGAUUCCGGCUCGAAGGA
rnacentral:tRNA from 1 species